rnacentral:rRNA from 1 species
GACGAACGCUGGCGGCGUGCUUAACACAUGCAAGUCGAACGGAAAGGCCCUGCUUUUGUGGGGUGCUCGAGUGGCGAACGGGUGAGUAACACGUGAGUAACCUGCCCUUGACUUUGGGAUAACUUCAGGAAACUGGGGCUAAUACCGGAUAGGAGCUCCUGCUGCAUGGUGGGGGUUGGAAAGUUUCGGCGGUUGGGGACGGACUCGCGGCUUAUCAGCUUGUUGGUGGGGUAGUGGCUUACCAAGGCUUUGACGGGUAGCCGGCCUGAGAGGGUGACCGGCCACAUUGGGACUGAGAUACGGCCAGACUCCUACGGGAGGCAGCAGUGGGGAAUAUUGCACAAUGGGCGGAAGCCUGAUGCAGCAACGCCGCGUGCGGGAUGACGGCCUUCGGGUUGUAAACCGCUUUCGCCUGUGACGAAGCGUGAGUGACGGUAAUGGGUAAAGAAGCACCGGCUAACUACGUG